rnacentral:lncRNA from 1 species
AACUGGCCGGUUUCGUCAAUGUUUACCAUCCGGUUUGGUCAUAGAUUUCACAAUACAUAACCCGGUUUGGUCAAAUAAAAAAAAUCAUAAUCGCAUUGCAUUAUUAUUGAUAAUUUAACCUCAGUAUUAAAAAGGAGUUUUAAAAUUGUGACCGGGUCGUUGGGAAACAAGUUCUUUCACAGGACAACAGCUCAUUAUUUACUAGUAUAUGAUUAGUCUCAGAUUCAAAUAAAUAAUAAGCAAACACUAGAAUUCCUACUCUUAUAGAACACAAAAAAUUUUAAUUUUACUUUGCAUUCAAACAUUUUUAAC